GACGAACGCUGGCGGCGUGCCUAAUACAUGCAAGUCGAGCGGACGAUUCGAAAGCUUGCUUUUGAAUCGUUAGCGGCGGACGGGUGAGUAACACGUGGGCAACCUGCCCUGUAGACGGGGAUAACACCGAGAAAUCGGUGCUAAUACCGGAUAACACGAAAUGUCGCAUGACGUUUCGUUGAAAGGCGGCGCAAGCUGCCGCUACAGGAUGGGCCCGCGGCGCAUUAGCUAGUUGGUGAGGUAACGGCUCACCAAGGCGACGAUGCGUAGCCAACCUGAGAGGGUGAUCGGCCACACUGGGACUGAGACACGGCCCAGACUCCUACGGGAGGCAGCAGUAGGGAAUCUUCCGCAAUGGACGAAAGUCUGACGGAGCAACGCCGCGUGAGCGAAGAAGGCCUUCGGGUCGUAAAGCUCUGUUGUUAGGGAAGAACAAGUAACGUAGUAACCGACGUUACUAUGACGGUACCUAACGAGAAAGCCACGGCUAACUACGUG
rnacentral:rRNA from 1 species